rnacentral:rRNA from 1 species
UACAGAGGGGGCAAGCGUUGUUCGGAAUUACUGGGCGUAAAGGGCGCGUAGGCGGCCUACUAAGUCGGACGUGAAAUCCCCGGGCUCAACCCGGGAACUGCGUCCGAUACUGGAAGGCUUGAAUCCGGGAGAGGGAUGCGGAAUUCCAGGUGUAGCGGUGAAAUGCGUAGAUAUCUGGAGGAACACCGGUGGCGAAGGCGGCAUCCUGGACCGGCAUUGACGCUGAGGCGCGAAAGCCAGGGGAGCAAACGGG